rnacentral:rRNA from 1 species
GGCGUGCCUAUACAUGCAGUCGAGCGAAUGGAUUAAGAGCUUGCUCUUAUGAAGUUAGCGGCGGACGGGUGAGUAACACGUGGGUAACCUGCCCAUAAGACUGGGAUAACUCCGGGAAACCGGGGCUAAUACCGGAUAACAUUUUGAACYGCAUGGUUCGAAAUUGAAAGGCGGCUUCGGCUGUCACUUAUGGAUGGACCCGCGUCGCAUUAGCUAGUUGGUGAGGUAACGGCUCACCAAGGCAACGAUGCGUAGCCGACCUGAGAGGGUGAUCGGCCACACUGGGACUGAGACACGGCCCAGACUCCUACGGGAGGCAGCAGUAGGGAAUCUUCCGCAAUGGACGAAAGUCUGACGGAGCAACGCCGCGUGAGUGAUGAAGGCUUUCGGGUCGUAAAACUCUGUUGUUAGGGAAGAACAAGUGCUAGUUGAAUAAGCUGGCACCUUGACGGNACCUAACCAGAAAGCCACGGCUAACUACGUGCCAGCAGCCGCGGUAAUACGUAGGUGGCAAGCGUUAUCCGGAAUUAUUGGGCGUAAAGCGCGCGCAGGUGGUUUCUUA